CCCUAAUAUUGCCUCAAAUUUCAAUUUUCCACAAACUUUUUCCUCUAAGUGGAAACACUUACAAGCAUGAUCCAAUAAAAAAGUUUAGGGUCGGGAUUUCGACGUCCAAAAGCUAGGUAGGGUCGGGUAACCGAAAACCCACGUAUUUUUUUUUUUUUUUUUGCCUAAUGCAUCAGUAAGGCCUGUUUUAUACGUCAAAUUUCGGUCGCGUCGAAUGCAAUUAAGACAAUAUAGAUAUAAUGAGAUGAUAAACCUCAUUAAGCUUCAUGCAUCAUCUAUUGUUUGAAUUGCAUUCGACGCGACCGAAAUUCGACGUAUAAAACAGGUCUAAAUUAUGGUUCAGGUCGUAUACUUCUAUCAUGUUAUACGAAGGCGACUUAGGUUUUAUAUUGGUAAUUAAAUCUUACGGCUUACUGCAGCAAAAAAUGAUGGGAAAAUGUUGUUUAUCAAUCUUUGAUUUCAUUUGCAAAAAUGUGUCAAAUUUUUUUUAUAUUGGAAAUUUGACCAGCCUAUGAAUCGGUUGGUCACAUGUCCGGUCGUAAAAAGCUUUGAUCGGACAAAAGGUAAAAUUUAGCCGGGCAAUGUCCGAUGACCAGCACUUAUUUGCAGGCCUGAACCAGGUAUACUGUAUCCUGCGAAGAAUGCAGAGCCAGAUGGCCCAUAGAUGCAUUUUUCACAGCUGCUUACUCCUGGUAUGAAAAUGUGUAAAAUUUACACUAAAAGUUUCCGCCUACAAAAACUGUUCAAUUUAAUGUAUAAGGGAUAUCUCUGCUUGGCGAGUUAUUCGGAAACCACGAAAUCCGAAUCCUGGCUGAAAAUUUUUUUUCUUAAUUUCUUCUCGUGACUGUUUGCGCAAAACAGAGAAAUUUAUACAUAAUAAUUUCAUUUUUAUUGACGACAAAAAGUUUAGUAAUAUAUUCGUAAUUCUUUUUAUUAUCGUACUGAGAAAUUUGUGACAGAACUAGUUUAUAUUAUUAAAUUGGUAGAAAUAAAUUUAUAAAU